ACCCUCGGAAGUUCUUUGCAGCGCAAACGGCAGAUAUUUGUACAGAGAGCUUCUCGAUUUGUACCCUCAAAGUUAGCCAUGAAUUCGUUGAAUUCCACCUCGGCAAUGACGAAGAAGUGCAUGGAGGUAAGAAGCAGCUCGAAAGGCUCGGGCCAAAGAUCUUCAGCUGCAACGCGAAGUGAGCCGUUGAUCCAGAAUUAUUCGAAUUUUAAGCGGAGCUCUCGCCCUGAGCGAUUGAUGUUCUACGAGGACGGAUCGUGGGUAGAUUAUUCGGAGGAAGUGGCGGAGUUGUUGAAAUUAGGGUUUGCCGAGGGGAGGCCGAUGAUUGAGGCUCAAGUCCUAGGGCACAGCUGUUUUUUUGACUUGUACCGAAUGCUUGAGAUUGAUUUGGAUUCCGGUAAUCAGAGGUCCAUUGCUUGGAUUGACGCUGAUGGCAAGUGUUUUUUCCCUAAAACAUUUGUCAACACUCGUGGAAAUGAUCGUGAGCUGGAAUUGGUCGACGGCGAUCAGAAUUGCGCUAGGAUUGAGAUUGAUUUAAAAAUUGUUGAGAAUUCAGGGAAUCACGAGGGUGUGAAUUUGGGUAAGAGGGGGAGAACAGAGAAUGUACAGAAGGGGAAAGUGGAGGAGAGUUUUAGUGGCACCGAUGCCAAAAGGCUGAAAAAGGAUGAGAGUGAGUCGCAGUCAUCGCGGUGGCCGAAGGCGAGGAAUGUGGUUGCUGGGGAGAAACGGUAUGAAUUGGUUAGGAAUCUGUUCUUAUCUGGGCUGGAGAAUGUGGACCCGGGUGCUAAGGUUACCUCCAUUCAUCAAUGUGUGCGGAAUGGACCCUUGGAUAAAGCGCGUUCAGAGGUUUUUGCGAAGCAAGUAGAGAUCAAGAAACAAGCUAGAGGGGAAUGUAAUAUGGUUUUUGCGUGGUAUGGGGCGUCACCCCAGGGUGUGGAGAGCAUUUUGAUGCAUGGUUUUGGAAUCCCUGGCAAGCUGUCUCGCUCCGCCGGUCAUGGCAUUGGAAUUCACUUGUCGCCUGUACGAUCGCCCCAAAAUAGUGCAAUGUUGGCGGAGGUGGAUGAGAAUGGUGAGAAACAUGUCAUAUUGUGUAGAGUGAUAUUGGGUAGAUGCGAGAAGGUUGAAGCAGGGUCGCUUCAGUCGUAUCCAUCAAGUGCGGAAUAUGAUACUGGUGUUGACGAUUUAAACAGUCCUAGGUGGUAUACAGUGUGGCAUGGAAACAUGAACACUCAUAUUCUACCAGAAUGUGUGGUCAGCUACCGGCCUGUAAAUAGAAAUGGCUAUGUUAAUAAUCGUGUUCCCAAGCAUGGGGCUCCUCAUCCGUCGACAUUUAUUGCUAAGCUAUUGAACAAGGUGAGAGGUUCGCUUGCGUUGCCACAGUUUGGCGAAUUGCAAACGUCAUGGGAGUUGUGUAAGGAAGGGAAGUUGGGAAAAGAGCAUUUCAUGAAAAAAAUACGAUUACUUGUUGGAGAUGAUGUGCUGCGCUCUGCAAUUCAAGAAAUUCGUGGCUGAGAAUAAGCUUUUGUACUUAAAGUAAAAGAAAUUUCUCCUAAGGUCUCGUAGACACAUCCAGGCUUCCAGACACCUAAGCUGGCAGGCUAAUCCAAAAAUACGGCUGGUGGCAACUGCCUGGACCCUGGACAAAUUUUCGAACAUUCUUUGCUGGUUAAAGUAGUUAUAUCUCUGGAGUAGAUGCUGUUAGUAAAUGCAUAUAAGGUUUGGCUGUGACCUGGUGCAUCCAAGUUCAAGACUCAGCAACUAGCAAUUGUCUCCUUUCAUUUUUAUUAUUCUACAAGUAGCCAUUUUUUAAAAUCAAUUGAUGAUCAGCUGCUUGUGGAGCCUUUCUGCACUCUGCUAGACCUAAUGAUUUUCGCUAGGCGAGUCAGAUGGAAGAACUGCUGUGCAGUGCUGGUGUAUUUUAAGGUGUGUUAAAGAACACUUGUUAUAUCAUGAACCCUGGAGUUUUAGUUGGACAUAUGGGGCUGUUGGAAGUAACUUUGAGUUUAUCCCUGAAGAAAUAUAACAAUCAAUUCUAGAGUCGUAUACUAAUCAUAGAUAGUGUUACGCUCGUUGUAUAUUGAUGACGGCUAGUUAUCCGCAACUACUACAAUUUACAAAUUAUUAGAUGUUUGACGUUUCUGGUUUGUGUCUUGAGAGCAUUCUGUAUCCGGUCUACUUUCUGUAAAUUUUUGGUUUGGAUGGUCUUCUCUACUUUGGGCUGAGUUGAUGCA